rnacentral:rRNA from 1 species
AUUGAACGCUGGCGGCAUGCCUUACACAUGCAAGUCGAACGGUAACGCGGGGCAACCUGGCGACGAGUGGCGAACGGGUGAGUAACGCAUCGGAACGCGCCCAAUAGUGGGGGAUAGCCCGGCGAAAGCCGGAUUAAUACCGCAUACGACCUACGGGUGAAAGCAGGGGAUCGCAAGACCUUGCGCUAAUGGAGCGGCCGAUGCCAGAUUAGGUUGUUGGUGGGGUAAAAGCCCACCAAGCCGACGAUCUGUAGCUGGUCUGAGAGGACGACCGGCCACACUGGGACUGAGACACGGCCCAGACUCCUACGGGAGGCAGCAGUGGGGAAUUUUGGACAAUGGGCGCAAGCCUGAUCCAGCCAUGCCGCGUGCGGGAUGAAGGCCUUCGGGUUGUAAACCGCUUUUGUUAGGGAAGAAAUCUUUUGAGCUAAUACCUCGGAAGGAUGACGGUACCUAAAGAAUAAGCACCGGCUAACUACGUGCCAGCAGCCGCAGUAA